UCAAUAAGCGGAGGAAAAGAAACUAACAAGGAUUCCCCUAGUAACGGCGAGUGAAGAGGGAAGAGCCCAAGAUUGAAAGCUGGCGUCUUCGACGUCCGCAUUGUAAUCUCAAGAAGCGUUUUCCGCUUCGGACCAUGCCUAAGUCCCUUGGAAAAGGGCAUCAUAGAGGGUGAUAAUCCCGUACAUGGCAUGGAGCGCCCGAAGCUUUGUGAUACGUUUUCUAAGAGUCGAGUUGUUUGGGAAUGCAGCUCAAAAUGGGUGGUAAAUGCCAUCUAAGGCUAAAUAUUGGGGAGAGACCGAUAGCGAACAAGUACAGUGAUGGAAAGAUGAAAAGAACUUUGAAAAGAGAGUUAAACAGUACGUGAAAUUGCCAAAAGGGAAGGGUAGGAGGUCAGAGAUGCGUCUUGGAAUUCAGCCUUGCUUUUUGCUUGGUGUUUUUUCCAAGUUUGCAGGCCAACGUCGGUUUUGGGCACUGGAGAAGGGUGGAAGGAACGUGGCACCCCUCGGGGUGUGUUAUAGCCUUCCACUGGAUACAGCGACCGAGACCGAGGACAGCAGCGUACUCGCAAGAGCGGGCCCUCGGGCACCUUUACGCUUAGGGCGUUGGCAUAAUGGCCCUCUACCACCCGUCUUGAAACA
rnacentral:rRNA from 1 species